rnacentral:rRNA from 1 species
GACGAACCGUACGAACGUUAUUCGGAAUCACUGGGCUUAAAGCGUGCGUAGGCGGCCUGGGAAGUUGGGUGUGAAAUCCAUCGGCUCAACCGAGGAACUGCGCCCAAAACUGCCAGGCUUGAGGGAGACAGAGGUGAGCGGAACUGAUGGUGGAGCGGUGAAAUGCGUUGAUAUCAUCAGGAACACCGGAGGCGAAAGCGGCUCACUGGGUCUUUUUCUGACGCUGAGGCACGAAAGCUAGGGGAGCGAACGGG